CCUGGUGUUCGUGAUGACUGAUCUUUUUUCCCCAACAGAUCGACCCUGUUGACUGCUCUGAAAAUUAAGCCAAAAUAUCUGAAACACCAGC